CCUACGGGGAGCAGCAGUGGGGAAUAUUGGACAAUGGGCGAAAGCCUGAUCCAGCCAUGCCGCGUGUGUGAAGAAGGCCUUCGGGUUGUAAAGCACUUUCAGUGGGGAAGAAAGCCUUGGGGCUAAUACCCUCGAGGAAGGACAUCACCCACAGAAGAAGCACCGACUAACUCCGUGCCAGCAGCCGCGGUAAUACGGAGGGUGCGAGCGUUAAUCGGAAUUACUGGGCGUAAAGCGCGCGUAGGCGGUCUGAUAAGCCGGUUGUGAAAGCCCCGGGCUCAACCUGGGAACGGCAUCCGGAACUGUCAGGCUAGAGUGCAGGAGAGGAAGGUAGAAUUCCCGGUGUAGCGGUGAAAUGCGUAGAGAUCGGGAGGAAUACCAGUGGCGAAGGCGGCCUUCUGGACUGACACUGACGCUGAGGUGCGAAAGCGUGGGUAGCAAACAGGAUUAGAUACCCCUGUAGUC
rnacentral:rRNA from 1 species